UUUCGGUCACUAAAUUGGUCUCAACUUUGCAUUGUUAGUUUUAUUCUACUUCUUUAGCGACGGAAAUUUCAGUCGCUAAUAUUUCCGUUGGUAAAUCGGUUGCUACUAGCGACGGAUAUGUCGGGCGCUAAAUAAUCUGUCGCCAAUUCAGUCGCUACUUUACUUUAUUAUGUUUAUUUUACUUUUUAGCGACGAAAAUUUCGGUCGCUAAUUCGGUCGCUCGUAAGUCAAACUCAGAGUUUGACCAAAAUAUCAUGGAUUCCGUCGCAAAGUCGGUCGCUAUUAGUGACUGAAAUAUUUCGGUCGCUAAAUCUGUCGCUAAACAGCGAAUUUCUAGUAGUGUCGUCAGUUUAAUAACAUAUUUGAUUAGCUGACAAACUCGAACCAAUAAUGUGAUUGAGUACUGAUCAAGCCGGACCGACAGAGACUAGUUCAGACCGAGUUUUAAAUCAUUGGUUAUAUCAAUUAUAGUUAUGAAAGAAAAUUUUGGUUUAUAAUGUUUUAAUAAAUAAACAUGUAGUUGGUGUCAAAAAAAUAUACACAUGUAGUUAAAUUGUAUUCAAAUUCAAUUAAAUUUCAUUCUUUUAUCACAUUAUAAUCAAUGGAAGAAUGGGAUUGUAAUUCGAUAUUUUGAGGGGGAGGUGUGCCUUGCCGCGUCCCUGUUCAGUGAUUCCAAUUUGGGGCUGCAUUUUGCCGAGGCCAUGGGCAUUAAGAAAGGAUUGUUAGUGGCUAGGGAGCGUGGAUUUCGAAGGUUGAUAUGGAGUCUGAUUCUGAGGUUGUUGUUCGUGUUGUCAAUGGGCAAGCGGCUCACAAAUCCUAUAUGGCUUCUCUGCAGGAAAUUUAUAAGGGUAGCCUAGAUAGGAUGUAGAUACAAGCAUUAUAACAUGUUCAAUAAUCUAUACAUAUAUAAUUUGCGUACCUGAUAUGAGCGAAGAAACAGUCUUUUUGUGUUUUGAGCCUAGGUGAUGCAUGUGAGAAAAACUGCUCUCUAUUCUGAUAAGUCUGUAGAGUAGAUUAAGUUAACUAUCUAAUGGGGAGACAAGUUUAUAACCUAUCAGAUGAGAGCAGGGGGCUUCUCACUGGGCUUAAAUAAAUAACCCAACCCAUUACAGGUUACUCAUCAGAAAAGCCCAAUAGUAAUAUCCAUCAAGUGGUUAAGCGUUAUAAUUAAUAUUAAUUUCUAAUAAUUGAUAUAUUAAUAAUUCAAGAAUUACACAUUCUAAUUAAAUGAUUAAUGCUAAUCCAUAAAAUAUCCAACAAUCUCCCACUUGGAUAGCAUUAGUCAAUUAACAGAAAUGCAAGAAUUAUUAAGAGUAGGAUAUCAAUAAUGGACAAAACGCAAAUCCACCAAAAGCAAGAAAAUAUAAGCUUUAACACAAGAGAAGAUAGUAUCCGAUAGGGAUAUGUGUCGUGUGUGUUAAGAAUAUCCGAUAGGGAUAAGAGACUCAUAUUUCAUAAAAGAAUGAUGGAUGUGGAAAGACAUUAUAGAAUUUAGAUAAACAUGCAAUUCCAAAGAAUGGCCCAAGCAUCUUAAAAUGCUAUGUUUUCAGACUCCCACUGACCUUAAAUAUCAAAAGACUUUAACCAUAUCAAUUUAUAUGGUUUAGACAAGCUCCAAGAAUAAAGUCUUUAAUCAGUGGAUUAAUGUACUCACUUAGAGUCCGAAAUUUUAGAAUUUCUUUUCUCUCUAGCAAACCAAGGGCAAGUAUAAAUUUAAUUAUUGUUUUGAGAGAAAAUAUAUCACAAGGGCAAGUAUAAAUUCCACAUAAGUCUAAGUGAUCUUAAUAGCCAAAAGAGUGAUUACAUGUGGGCUAAAGAGAAUAUGCUCAAAAGAAUUUGACAUAAUUAAUUCAAGGUUUUCUAAACAAGUGACCAUAAGUCCAUGGUAAAAGAGUUUAAUAAUAACAUGGAUAAUGGAAACUUAUUUAGACAAAGGGUGUCUUGAACUAAUAAAGAAUAAAAUGUCAAUAAUGAGCAAACACUUAUAAUUAAUGGUCUAAUUAAGAUUAAGUACCUUAAAAAUGCAAGAAAUCAUACUCGAUAGGAGUAGUGAUACUAUACAUCUAAGACACUUAUGUUUUACCAUAUAGAGUGUGAAAUGUUGGUUAAGAGAAACACAUUAAAU
rnacentral:lncRNA from 1 species